UACGAAGGGGGCUAGCGUUGUUCGGAAUUACUGGGCGUAAAGCGCACGUAGGCGGACUUAUAAGUCAGGGGUGAAAUCCCGGGGCUCAACCUCGGAACUGCCUUUGAUACUGUAAGUCUCGAGUCCGGAAGAGGUGAGUGGAAUUCCUAGUGUAGAGGUGAAAUUCGUAGAUAUUAGGAAGAACACCAGUGGCGAAGGCGGCUCACUGGCUCGAUACUGACGCUGAGGUGCGAAAGCGUGGGGAGCAAACAGG
rnacentral:rRNA from 1 species